rnacentral:rRNA from 1 species
AUUGAACGCUGGCGGCAGGCCUAACACAUGCAAGUCGAGCGGAGCGGCGGACGGGUGAGUAAUGCCUAGGAAUCUGACUGGUAGUGGGGGAUAACGUCCGGAAACGGGCGCUAAUACCGCAUACUAUCAGAUGAGCCUAGGUCGGGUUAGCUAGUUGGUGGGGUAAAGGCCUACCAAGGCGACGCUCCGUAACUGGUCUGUGAGGAUGAUCAGUCACACUGGAACGGAGACACGUUCCCGACGCCUACGGGAGGCAGCAGAGGGUAAUAUUGGACAAUGGGCGAAAGCCUGAUCCAGCCAGGCGGCGUGUGUGAAGAAGGUCUUCCGAUGGUAAAGCACUUGAAGUUGGGAGGCGUUACCAACAGAAUAAGCACCGGCUAACUUCGUGCCAGCAGCCGCGGUAAUUC